rnacentral:rRNA from 1 species
GAUGCACGCUAGCUACAGGCUUAACACAUGCAAGUCGAGGGACCGGCGCACGGGUGAGUAACACGUAUCCAACCUGCCCUUUACUCGGGGAUAGCCUUUCGAAAGAAAGAUUAAUACCCGAUGUAAAGGUUGGGGAUGCGUUCCAUUAGGUUGUUGGUGAGGUAACGGCUCACCAAGCCGUCGAUGGAUAGGGGUUCUGAGAGGAAGGUCCCCCACAUUGGAACGGAGACACGGUCCAAACUCCGACGGGAGGCAGCAGGGAGGAAUAUGGGUCAAUGGGCGUUAGCCUGAACCAGCCAAGUAGCGUGAAGGAUGAAGGCUUAUGGGUCGUAAACUUCUUUUAUAUAAGAAUAUGUAUUAUAUGAAUAAGGAUCGGCUAACUCCGUGCCAGCAGCCGCGGUAAUAC